UACGUAGGGGCCUAGCGUUGUCCGGAUUUAUUGGGCGUAAAGAGCUCGUAGGCGGUUGGGCAAGUCACGUGUGAAAUCUCCACGCUCAACGUGGAGGCGCCACGUGAGACUGCCCUGACUCGAGUCCGGUAGGGGAGCGUGGAAUUCCCGGUGUAGCGGUGAAAUGCGCAGAGAUCGGGAGGAACACCCGUAGCGAAGGCGGCGCUCUGGGCCGGUACUGACGCUGAGGAGCGAAAGCGUGGGGAGCAAACAGG
rnacentral:rRNA from 1 species